GUCUAGGAACAGUGUGAAUGUUAGUUGAAUUUGGUAUGUGUGCUUUGUGGUGGGUGAAAAUGAUAUGAUUCUAAUGCGUGAUGUGUUGAUUUUUGGUUUCGGAAUGUAAAAAUUGAAAUUUACUUACUCGUAUAACUGUGGUGAACCGUACUCUGCGUGUAGGCAAGGCGAAAAGGAAUUCUUGGGAGGAGAGGGGUUCUAAAAUUACGCCCGGGGGGGGGGAGGCGAAAGACGAAUCCUAAAAUGUAGGGGGUUUGAUUGGGGUGGGCUCAGUUAGGGUAGGGUUAGUUGAUAGGGUAGGGUUUGGAUUAUAAGGGUUGGGAAUAAGUUUUUGGGUUAAGGUUCCGGUGGGGAUUGGGUUAGGUUUGGGAUUACUGCUCAGAAUAGUGGAUUGAAAAGUGUUGAAUAGGGAGUGGGCCUGGGAAGUUUCGAGUGGGUUGAGUGUAUCGAUGUUGUGUGAAUGUGUAUCUGAUGAAAGUGGAAACAUCGGUUGAAAAUAAUAUUGAAAGUUGUUUCAAAUGGAUAGCGAAGGAUAUAUUGAUGUUUUGAUAGCUUCGUGGCAGAGUUUGUGACAGAAGAUUUUUUGCCACAAAAUUUGUCUUCCGUCUACUUCUCGUUCUUUGAAAGGUGAACGAUAGUUCGAAAUGGAUGUGACGGUGGUGAGUGUUAAGUAGUGUGAAUGCUCCGUGGCACAGUUUGUGACAAAAAGUUUUCUGCCACGAAAUUUGU